ensembl:lncRNA
CUAAGGGAAAUUAGAGAGGCUAUCAAAAUUAAGAACUCAAUAAUAGUGGGGGAUUUCAAUUAUCCCCAUAUUCACUGGGAACAUUUCGCUUCAGGACGAAAUGCAGAGAUAAAAUUUCUCGAUACUUUAAAUGACUGCUUCAUGGAGCAGCUGGUACGGGAACCCACAAGGGGAGAGGCAACUCUAGAUUUAGUCCUGAGUGGAGCACAGGAGCUGGUCCAAGAGGUAACUAUAGCAGGACCGCUUGGAAAUAGUGACCAUAAUACAAUAGCGUUCAACAUCCCUGUGGUGGGAAGAAUAUCUCAACAGCCCAACACUGUGGCAUUUAAUUUCAAAAGGGGGAACUAUGCAAAAAUGAGGGGGUUAGUUAAACAGAAGUUAAAAGGUACCGUGACUAAAGUGAAAUCCCUGCAAGCUGCAUGGGCGCUUUUUAAAUACACCAUAAUAGAGGCCCAACUUCAAUGUAUACCCCAAAUUAAGAAACACAGUAAAAGAACUAAAAAAGAGCCACCGUGGCUUAAUAACAAUGUGAAAGAAGCAGUGAGAGAUAAAAAGACUUCCUUUAAAAAGUGGAAGUCAAAUCCUAGUGAGGCAAAUAGAAAGGAGCAUAAACGCUGCCAAAUUAAGUGCAAGAAUGUAAUAAGAAAAGCCAAAGAGGAGUUUGAAGAAUGGCUAGCCAAAAACUGCAAAGGUAAUAACAAAAUGUUUUUUAAGUACAUCAGAAGCAGGAAGCCUGCUAAACAACCAGUGGGGCCCCUUGAUGAUCGAGAUACAAAAGGAGCGCUUAAAGACGAUAAAGUCAUUGCGGAGAAACUAAAUGGAUUCUUUGCUUCAGUCUUCACGGCUGAGGAUGUUAGGGAGAUUCCCAAACCUGAGCUGUCUUUUGUAGGUGACAAAUCCGAGGAACUGUCACGGAUUGAAGUGUCACGAGAGGAGGUUUUGGAAUUAAUUGAUAAACUUAACAUUAACAAGUCACCGGGACCAGAUGGCAUUCAACCAAGAGUUCUGAAAGAACUCAAAUGUGAAGUUGCAGAACUGUUAACUAAGGUUUGUAACCUGUCCUUUAAAUCGGCUUCUGUACCCAAUGACUGGAAGUUAGCUAAUGUAACACCAAUAUUUAAAAAGGGCUCUAGAGA